rnacentral:tRNA from 1 species
AAUGUAGAGCCUGAAUAAAGGAUUACCGUGAUAGGGUAAAACAUGUAAAACGUAUUACCUACAUUA